rnacentral:rRNA from 1 species
UACGGGGGGGGCAAGCGUUGUUCGGAAUUAUUGGGCGUAAAGGGCGCGUAGGCGGUGCGGUAAGUCUUUUGUGAAAUCUCCGGGCUCAACUCGGAGUCUGCAGGAGAAACUGCCGUGCUUGAGUGUGGGAGAGGUGAGUGGAAUUCCUGGUGUAGCGGUGAAAUGCGCAGAUAUCAGGAGGAACACCAACGGCGAAGGCAGCACUCUGGGCCGGUACUGACGCUGAGGAGCGAAAGCGUGGGGAGCAAACAGG